ACACGUAGGGAGCAAGCGUUGUCCGGAUUUAUUGGGCGUAAAGAGCUCGUAGGCGGUUUCGUAAGUCGGAUGUGAAAACUCAAGGCUCAACCUUGAGACGCCAUUCGAUACUGCGAUGACUCGAGUCCGGUAGGGGAGCAUGGAAUUCCUGGUGUAGCGGUGAAAUGCGCAGAUAUCAGGAGGAACACCAGUGGCGAAGGCGGUGCUCUGGGCCGGAACUGACGCUGAGGAGCGAAAGCAUGGGUAGCGAACAGGAUUAGAAACCCCGGUAGUCC
rnacentral:rRNA from 1 species